AUUGAACGCUGGCGGCAGGCCUAACACAUGCAAGUCGAGCGGAUGAAGGGAGCUUGCUCCUGGAUUCAGCUGCGGACGGGUGAGUAAUGCCUAGGAAUCUGCCCGGUAGUGGGGGAUAACGUCAGGAAACGGGCGCUAAUAUCGCACCCGUUCUGAGUGAGAACGUCGGGGAUCUUAGGACCUCACGCUAUUAGAUGAGACUAGGUCGGAUUAGCUAGUUGGUGGGGUAAAGGCCUACCAAGGCGACGAUCCGUAACUGGUCUGAGAGGAUGAUCAGUCACACUGGAACUGAGACACGGUCCAGACUCCUACGGGAGGCAGCAGUAGGGAAUAUUGGACAAUGGGCGAAAGCCUGAUCCAGCCAUGCCGCGUGUGUGAAGAAGGUCUUCGGAUUGUAAAACACUGUAAGUUGGGAGGAAGAGCAGUAAAUUAAUACCUGGCUAUUUUGACGUUACCAACAGAAUAAGCACCGGCUAACUUCGUG
rnacentral:rRNA from 1 species